rnacentral:rRNA from 1 species
UAAUCUACCCCCAGGUGGUGGAUAACCUUCCGAAAGGAAGGCUAAUACAGCAUGGGACCACGACUCCGAAAGGGGUUGAGGUGAAAGUCGGCCUCUUCAUGAAAGCCGACGCCAGGGGAUGAGCCUGCGGCCCAUCAGCUAGUUGGUAGGGUAAUGGCCUACCAAGGCGAAGACGGGUAGCUGGUCUGAGAGGAUGAUCAGCCACACUGGAACUGAGGCACGGUCCAG